UGCGUAUUGAAAGAAUGUAGUACGCUUCAUGCUCAACGGCACUAUGCCACAUGUGCUGUGAAAUAGAUAGGUUAAGAUGGCUAACGCAAUAGGGUUGGUGGCGAUGGCUGUGAAUGUGAUGUGUGACGAUCCGCGACAAGAUUUGCUGGUACUGGAAGAAGGGACUGAGUGCGUGCCAGUAUUUUCAUGUGACAUGGGCAGGCGUCUACUGCUCCCAAUUGUGCGUGCCUCGCGCCUUUUCUUGUUCACAUGGGAUCUAGCGGCUAGAAAACAUAUACGAUCGCAGUUUGAUGACGUACUGAAUGUUAGUUCUGAAAUAUAGUGUUUUCCAGGAAUGCAUUAACCAGUAAAAAAGAAGCAUAACUGAAUUGGCUUAUCUUUUGUGUUCUCGACAGUGAACAUUUGUGCUAGGAAAUCGUACGAAACAGGAUCAUAUCAA
rnacentral:lncRNA from 1 species